rnacentral:rRNA from 1 species
UACGGGGGGAGCAAGCGUUGUUCGGAUUUACUGGGCGUAAAGGGCGCGUAGGCGGCGCACCAAGUCACUUGUGAAAUCUCCGGGCUUAACCCGGAGCGGCCAAGUGAUACUGUCGUGCUAGAGUGCGGAAGGGGCUACUGGAAUUCUCGGUGUAGCGGUGAAAUGCGUAGAUAUCGAGAGGAACACCUGCGGCGAAGGCGGGUAGCUGGGCCGACACUGACGCUGAGGCGCGAAAGCCAGGGGAGCGAACGGG